rnacentral:rRNA from 1 species
GAUGAACGCUGGCGGCGUGCCUAAUACAUGCAAGUCGAACGGUAUGGGAAACCAUACAGUGGCGAACGGGUGAGUAACGCGUUGGUGACCUGCCCCAAAGCGGGGGAUAACAGGCCGAAAGGCUUGCUAAUACCCCAUGUGCUAAGAACGAAGUAGAGGGUUCUUAGGAAAGGAGAAAUUCACUUUGGGAGGGGCCUGCGUCCCAUCAGCUAGUUGGUAAGGUAACGGCUUACCAAGGCGAUGACGGGUAGGGGACCUGAGAGGGUGGCCCCCCACAAUGGAACUGAAACACGGUCCAUACACCUACGGGUGGCAGCAGUAGGGAAUAUUGGUAAUGUGGGAAACCGCGAACCAGCAACGCCGCGUGUGCGAUGAAGGCCUUCGGGUUGUAAAGCACUUUUUACCGGGACGAGGAAGGACGGUACCGGUAGAAUCAGCCUCGGCUAACUACGUGCCAGCAGCCGCGGUAAAACGUAGGAGGCGAGCGUUAUCCGGAUUUA